rnacentral:rRNA from 1 species
UACGUAGGGGGCAAGCGUUGUCCGGAAUCAUUGGGCGUAAAGCGCGUGUAGGCGGCCAGGUAAGUCCGUUGUGAAAACUGGAGGCUCAACCUCCAGACGUCGAUGGAAACCGCUUGGCUAGAGUCCGGAAGAGGAGAGUGGAAUUCCUGGUGUAGCGGUGAAAUGCGCAGAUAUCAGGAAGAACACCGAUGGCGAAGGCAGCUCUCUGGGACGGUACUGACGCUGAGACGCGAAAGCGUGGGGAGCGAACAGG